GUGAUCUAUUAGUAGUAGGUGAC
rnacentral:siRNA from 1 species